rnacentral:rRNA from 1 species
GGCGCACGGGUGCGUAACGCGUAUGCAACCUACCUUUUACUGGGAGAUAGCCCGGAGAAAUCUGGAUUAAUACCCCAUAGUACCAGAUUGUCGAAUGACGAUUUGGUUAAAGAUUUAUCGGUAAGAGAUGGGCAUGCGUCUGAUUAGCUAGUUGGCGGGGUAACGGCUCACCUAGGCCACGAUGAGUAGGGGUUCUGAGAGGAAGGCCCCCCACACUGGCACUGAGAUACGGGCCAGACUCCUACGGGAGGCAGCAGUAGGGAAUAUUGGGCAAUGGUCACAAGACUGACCCUGCCAUGCCGCGUGCAGGAAGACGGCCCUUGGGUUGUAAACUGCUUUUAUCUGGGAAGAAAAAGUCCAUGCGUGGAAAAUUGCCGGUACCAGAUGAAUAAGCACCGGCUAACUCCGUGCCAGCAGCCGCGGUAAUACGGAGGGUGCAAGCGUUGUCCGGAUUUAUUGGGUUUAAAGGUUGCGUAGGCGGCUGAUUAAGUCGGCGGUGAAAGACUUCGGCUUAACCGGACCAGUGCCGUUGAUACUGUUUAGCUUGAUUGUUGGAGGGGUACAUGGAAUUGAUGGUGUAGCGGUGAAAUGCAUAGAUACCAUCAGGAACACCGAUAGCGAAGGCAUUGUACUGUCCAACAACUGACGCUGACGCACGAAAGUGUGACGAUCGAACAGGAUUAUAUACCCUGUUAGUCCACACCGUAAACGAUGAUUACUCGCUGUUAUGGUGUAUGCUGUAGCGUCCAAGCCAAAGCGUUAUUUAAUCCACCUGGGGAGUACGCCGGCAACUGUGAACUCAUAGGAAUUGACGGGAGUCCCACAAG